rnacentral:rRNA from 1 species
UACGUAGGGUGCGAGCGUUUGUCCGGAAUUAUUGGGCGUAAAGAGCUUGUAGGCGGUUUGUCGCGUCUGCUGUGAAAAUCCGGGGCUUAACCCCGGACCUGCAGUGGGUACGGGCAGACUAGAGUGUGGUAGGGGAGACUGGAAUUCCUGGUGUAGCGGUGAAAUGCGCAGAUAUCAGGAGGAACACCGGUGGCGAAGGCGGGUCUCUGGGCCGAAACUGACGCUGAGGAGCGAAAGCGUGGGGAGCAAACAGG